rnacentral:rRNA from 1 species
AUUGAACGCUAGCGGGAUGCCUAACACAUGCAAGUCGAACGGAGUGGCGAACGGGUGAGUAAUGUAUCGGAAGGUGCCCAGUAGCGGGGGAUAACUAAGCGAAAGCGUAGCUAAUACCGCAUACUAUUUGAGCGGCCGAUAUCGGAGUAGCUAGUUGGUGGGGUAACGGCUCACCAGGGCGACGAUCCGUAGCUGGUUUGAGAGGACGACCAGCAACACUGGGACUGAGACACGGCCCAGACUCCUACGGGAGGCAGCAGUGGGGAAUUUUGGACAAUGGGGGAAACCCUGAUCCAGCAAUCCCGCGUGUGGGAAGAAGGCCUUCGGGUUGUAAAGCACUUUUGGCAGGGAAGCGGUACCUACAGAGUAAGCACCGGCUAACUACGUGCCAGCAGCCGCGGUAAUUC